rnacentral:misc_RNA from 1 species
GUAGGUGAACCUGCGGAAGGAUCAUUGUCGAAACCUGCCCAGCAGAGCGACCCGUGAACAUGUUCAACCUCAUGGGUGCUGGGGCCUGGCUCGGUGCCUUGUGUGCUGGCUCGCCCCUCUCCCAGGCAGGGGAGCGCCCACUUGUGGGCUGUUCCCCGGCUAACCAACGAACCCCGGCGCGUAAAUGAGUCAAGGAAUACAAACUUUAUGUGUGUGCUCUCCUAUCGCCCUGUUAGCCGGGCGUUGGAGUGCUGCCAUGUCUUAACAAUAAAUGACUCUCGGCAACGGAUAUAUCGGCUCUC